rnacentral:tRNA from 1 species
UACUCCGUGGCGCAAUGGUAGCGAUUCUGACUCCAUAUCAGAAGGUUGCGUGUUCAAACCACGUCGGGGUCA